rnacentral:lncRNA from 1 species
CUUUUACUCCUUUUAGACGUGGAAAGAUUUGUGCUAUCUUUCAACUUUACUGAACUGAGCAUUUUUGGAAUAGAUUUAUAUUCAAUAGCAUUUGCUUGUGCUCUCUAAAACACAAAUGAAAUGAUGGAACAUUAAGGGGCGGGAACCACAACUGGAAAAUGUAAAAGUAACAUAUGUUAAAAUCUGUUCAUGGUCAUGUGUUACAGAAUAGGAGGCGCUACGAAUAUUGAAACUAUAACUUUGCAUGAUGCUAGGGAGUAUAUCGGACUUGAGUUCGUCCUUGUGACAAAAGACCUGUUUCUUUGCAUGGUGUCUGAAAUUUGAAAAAAAAAUUAUAGGAAAAAAUCUCUAUUUCCAUGAAAGAAAAAGUACACAAGUCUAAGAACUAAAGUGGAAAUGAUAUAUCUAUUUAUACUUUUGAGAUUAAAUCUCAUUGCAGAAAAAUAUUUGAAAAAGACUAAGAUUAAGCCUUACCACAAAGCAUCUUAAGAGAAAGCAGGUGAAACAUAUGGCUGUAACAGAACCAACCUGCAAUUAGAAUCCAUUUUUAGCUAAUAUAACUAGUCUAAAAGAACUGCAGUUUGGCUUUAGCUAUUCUGUUCAUACUGCAUAACCGUGAAAGCAGGUGUACAUCCACAAACCUACUGCCACCACAAAUAACACUAUAAUCUAUUUGCAAGGUUCCGAUUUUGGCCAAAUAAUAAUAGCAGGAUGUAUGUUUUAGAAGGUGAAGUUGCAUAAAGUCAUUGCAACUGCAAACUGUUUGAUACUGGUACGCCUCAUUCUAUUAUGGCUGAUAUAGAAGUCCACAUAUUCUCAGCAGAAGUGCAAAUUGUAAUUUGUUUCAUUGUGCAGUAACAUUCAGUCAUAUCAUAUAGAUCCUAGAAACAAGCUUAUCAUAGGUUUCGAAAGGCAUCACAAUCUAUAAAUAUGUUGGUUAAGUUUCAUAGUUAUAGAUUGGAUCAAAUUAUGUUUCCUGUUUCUUUCAGACUGUAUUUUUGUUCUUUCUUUUUUUAUGGAACUGACAUUGAGGCACAAUUGUUAAAAUAAUCAGGGACCUCAAACUUGUGUCCUUCAAAAUGGCACACCUGGGAAACUUCCUUUUCUAGUGAGAAUCUGGCUACUGGAAGUGGUGACUCUAGUCGUUUCUAUAUGAAUAAAGGAAGCAAGGAUCCUCAAAUUUUCCAAUUUUAAGAUGCUUUUACGGUUUCAGUGUGUUAAAGUUCAAUGAGGUAACUACCUAAAACUUUCAUUUCACACUAUGAAGUAACUAGCUUGCUCAAAUUUUAACAAUUUAUAACUACAUUUCUAUACACAGAUAACCUUCAACCAGAAAAUUCAAACCAACCAAAGUAAACAACUUUGAGAAUUCAAAAAAUCAAAGAGUGAAGAAUUUCGAAAAUUGUAGAACCUGUGUGGGAAGACCAAGCGGACAGAGCCAGGCCAGACGGAGGCGUCGUCGUUGACCGUGACCUAGCCGGCCAAGAAGGCGAAUUUUGAGGUACAACUUGCACAUUUCGUAGAUUGUAUUACUGUACGCUGCACAUCCUUCGCCAUCGA